GGAAGUAAAAGUCGUAACAAGGUUUCCGUAGGUGAACCUGCGGAAGGAUCAUUACUGAUUUAGCGAACCGAGCAUUAGCGAGGUUUUGCGAUCAAUUUAUAUUUAAAACCCACUCUUUAAUGUAUAAAAUUUGUAUUAAUGAUAAAUUAAAAGAUCACUUUCAACAACGGAUCUCUUGGCUCUCGCAUCGAUGAAGAACGUAGCGAAGUGCGAUAAGUAAUGUGAAUUGCAGUAUUCCGUGAAUCAUCGAACCUUUGAACGCAUAUUGCACUUUCUGGUAUUCCGGAAAGUAUGCCUGUUUGAGGGUCAGUUAAAUAAAAAUCGGUGUUGUUGCCGCUUUUCGUGGUGACGCGUCGGAAUUGAGUAGUCUUACCUUCGGUUAAGUGACUUAAAAUUUUGUAUGAUUUUUACAAACGUAUUUAAAAUAAUUUUUGUACGUUUUUGUAAUAUUCAGUUUUAUUAGAUGUGGUCAUUUUUAUGGUUCGCGUCUAUAAUUUCUCAUCUAUUGACCUCAAAUCAGGUAAGAAUACCCGCUGAACUUAAGCAUAUCAAUAAGCGGAGGA
rnacentral:rRNA from 1 species